AUAUCCACAACUGCACAUGAAAAGCUUCUGUCAGGAUCUUGAAAACAAAGAAUCGAUUAGCUCGGGAACUAAAACCCAAAUGCUCAAUCAUGCUUGAUGUUUCAUGCACGCCCUUUUCGCCUCCACGUACGAGAACUCCGGAAAUGGCAGAGAACAUCAAAUUCUGACAUACUUAACUUAGGAGAUAUGUGACGUAGAUGUUCCUUUUUGGCCCAUCUCUUGCGUAGGGCUUCAUGUGAACAUGCUUAGCGUAGACUUUGUAACAUAUCGAUUUUGGGAGGCAGUGUGUACUGCAAAAAAACCUAGCGCGGCUGGAUCGAUAGCGAUCGCCAAAGUCCAAGACGCAGGCGGCCAAGGAAGAGUCCCACCCGUCGAAAUUUUGAAAGGCGCGAGCACCAGAAGCAAUUUCGGCUUGCUUUUGGACAUCUCAACCGACACUUUUGUUAGGUGUGAAAACUCAUGCUGAUGGCGUAUUUGCGUUGGCAAAUUUAAUGGAUGAUUUGCUUGUCUUUAUCGCGUGGUCGGCAUCUUAUCAGUUGGGUUUCGAUGUCUCAUCAAACAAUUUGAGCGUUGGAGCUUA